CCUACGGGAGGCAGCAGUGAGGAAUAUUGGUCAAUGGGCGGAAGCCUGAACCAGCCAAGUAGCGUGAGGGAUGACGGUCCUACGGGUUGUAAACUGCUUUUAUACGGGAAUAAAGCGUCUUACGUGUAGGGUUUUGCAUGUACCGUAUGAAUAAGGACCGGCUAAUUCCGUGCCAGCAGCCGCGGUAAUACGGAGGGUCCGGGCGUUAUCCGGAUUUAUUGGGUUUAAAGGGAGCGUAGGCCGCAUGUCAAGCGUGCGGUGAAAUGUCCGGGCUCAACCCGGGCCUUGCAGUGGAAACUGGCGUGCGUGAGUCGGCGGGAGGCAGGCGGAAUUCGUGGUGUAGCGGUGAAAGGCUUAGAUAUGACGAAGAACCCCGAUUGCGAAGGCAGCUUGCUGCAGCGUAACUGACGCUGAUGCUCGAAAGCGCGGGUAUCGAACAGGAUUAGAUACCCCUGUAGUC
rnacentral:rRNA from 1 species